rnacentral:rRNA from 1 species
UACAGAGGUCUCAAGCGUUGUUCGGAUUCAUUGGGCGUAAAGGGUGCGUAGGUGGCGGGGUAAGUCAGGUGUGAAAUCUCGGAGCUCAACUCCGAAACUGCACUUGAUACUGCCUUGCUCGAGUACUGGAGAGGAGAUUGGAAUUCCCAGUGUAGAGGUGAAAAUUCGUAGAUAUUGGGAAGAACACCGGUGGCGAAGGCGGCGAGCUGGUCCAUUACUGACGCUGAGGCGCGACAGCGUGGGGAGC